rnacentral:rRNA from 1 species
UACGAAGGGGGCUAGCGUUGCUCGGAAUCACUGGGCGUAAAGCGCACGUAGGCGGAUUGCUAAGUCAGGGGUGAAGUCCUGGAGCUCAACUCCAGAACUGCCUUUGAUACUGGCGAUCUUGAGUCCGGGAGAGGUGAGUGGAACUGCGAGUGUAGAGGUGAAAUUCGUAGAUAUUCGCAAGAACACCAGUGGCGAAGGCGGCUCACUGGCCCGGUACUGACGCUGAGGUGCGAAAGCGUGGGGAGCAAACAGG